GUGAGGCAACGGCUCACCAAGGCAUCGACGGGUAGCUGGUCUGAGAGGACGAUCAGCCACACUGGGACUGAGACACGGCCCAGACUCCUACGGGAGGCAGCAGUAGGGAAUCUUGCGCAAUGGGCGAAAGCCUGACGCAGCAACGCCGCGUGGGGGAUGAAGGCCUUCGGGUCGUAAACCCCUUUCAGCAGGGACGAAAAUGACGGUACCUGCAGAAGAAGGUCCGGCCAACUACGUGCCAGCAGCCGCGGUAAUACGUAGGGACCAAGCGUUGUCCGGAAUUAUUGGGCGUAAAGAGCUCGUAGGCGGUUCGGUAAGUCGGGUGUGAAAAUCCAGGGCUCAACCCUGGGACGCCACCCGAUACUGCUGUGACUAGAGUCCGGUAGAGGAGCGUGGAAUUCCUGGUGUAGCGGUGAAAUGCGCAUAUAUCAGGAGGAACACCAGCGGCGAAGGCGGCGCUCUGGGCCGGUACUGACGCUGAGGAGCGAAAGCAUGGGGAGCAAACAGGAUUAGAUACCCUGGUAGUCCAUGCCGUAAACGGUGGGCACUAGGUAUGGGACCCUAUCAACGAGUUCCGUGCCGUAGCUAACGCAUUAAGUG
rnacentral:rRNA from 1 species